UACGUAGGGUGCAAGCGUUAAUCGGAAUUACUAGGGCGUAAACGUGCGCAGGCGGUUAUGUAAGACAGUUGUGAAAUCCCCGGGCUCAACCUGGGAACUGCAUCUGUGACUGCAUAGCUAGAGUACGGUAGAGGGGGAUGGAAUUCCGGCGUGUAGCAGUGAAAUGCGUAGAUAUGCGGAGGAACACCGAUGGCGAAGGCAAUCCCCGUGGACCUGUACUGACGCUCAUGCACGAAAGCGUGGGGAGCAAACGAGG
rnacentral:rRNA from 1 species